rnacentral:rRNA from 1 species
UACGGGAGGCAGCAGUAGGGAAUUUUCGGCAAUGGGCGAAAGCCUGACCGAGCAACGCCGCGUGAGGGAAGAAGGUCUUCGGAUCGUAAACCUUUGUCUAGAGGGAAGAUAAUGACGGUACCUCUGGAGGAAGCCACGGCUAACUACGUGCCAGCAGCCGCGGUAAUACGUAGGUGGCAAGCGUUGUCCGGAAUUACUGGGCGUAAAGGGCGUGUAGGCGGUUUUUUAAGUCAGGCGUGAAAACUAUGGGCUUAACCGAUAGAUUGCGUUUGAGACUGAGAGACUUGAGGAUCGGAGAGGGCAGUGGAAUUCCCAGUGUAGCGGUGAAAUGCGUAGAUAUUGGGAGGAACACCAGUGGCGAAGGCGACUGCCUGGACGACACCUGACGCUGAGGCGCGAAAGCUAGGGGAGCAAACGGGAUUAGAUACCCCGGUAGUCCUAGCCGCAAACGAUGGGUACUAGGUGUGGAGGGUAUCGACCCCUUCCGUGCCGCAGUAAACACAAUAAGUACCCCGCCUGGGGAGUACGGCCGCAAGGUUGAAACUCAAAGGAAUUGACGG